CAGUCGCCACGGUAAUACGGAGGGUGCAAGCGUUAUCCGGAUUUAUUGGGUUUAAAGGGUCCGUAGGCGGAUCUGUAAGUCAGUGGUGAAAUCUCACAGCUUAACUGUGAAACUGCCAUUGAUACUGCAGGUCUUGAGUAAAUUUGAAGUGGCUGGAAUAAGUAGUGUAGCGGUGAAAUGCAUAGAUAUUACUUAGAACACCAAUUGCGAAGGCAGGUCACUAAGAUUUAACUGACGCUGAUGGACGAAAGCGUGGGGAGCGAACAGGAUUAGAGACCCCCGUAGUCCCUGUCUCUUAUCC
rnacentral:rRNA from 1 species